AUUUUCUUUCAUAAGACCCUGACUUUCAGUCAAGGGAAUAAAUUUUUGUUUCUGAAUGAUGUUUUGAACUUGACCUUCCCAUUAGACAACAGCAACUGUACACAACAAAAUUAAUCUCAAUUUCUUAUUAUGAAAAAAACAUUUGAAAAUAGUCGUAACGUUAUGGUUGAUGCUUCAUGGCUCAACUCAGACAUAUUCAUCAUAAAUCGUGACAAUAAUUGUUUGUAGAUGUACUUUCAUACUUUUAGUAGUUGUAUCUCUAAUUGUCUGUUUAAUCACUCGAGAUAAAUCAUUCACUUAGACUGCCAAGCAAGAUUGUUUAUUAACGAUGAUAGUUCAGCGUGAUGUCCCAGUUUAACGUUUUUUUUUACUUCAAAACUUUUGUAAUAUUUCGCUUCAGAUCAAUCAUACAGUUUGCUAUCUCUUGAAUUAGUCAAAAAGAUAACAUUUGUGAUAACUGAAACCCACUGAGAGAUACAACUUUACAAUAAUGGCAACCAUUUACUUAUGUGCAUCUUUUUAUCCGGCUCUACAGAAAGUAUUUUCAGCCGACUGAAAUGCGAAUAAAUCUUUGCAAUGACUUGUCUGAAGAACAUAAUAAAAUUCAGUCCUUUUGGCCUACCAGUUUUUUCUGAAUCCUUGUCUGAUAAGGAGUUCAUUUUUGAAAAAAUCAUAGAACAAAAGUAAUCAUCUAGAGGUCGCGCAAAACCGAUUUUCAAAGAUUCUGACAAGUUGGGGGGGAAAUUUUUGACUUGUUGGAAAAACGUUAAACUCGGGAAACUUUGACAUAAAAAGUCAUAAAGUCAUGACAGUCAUAAAAAAUAUUUUCGAUUUUGGACUGUAAUAGCUCAUUUUGAUGGUAAUUCAAUUGCCAAUUUAGUGCAGUAGAAGUUUUCAAGUUGCAUCGAAAAACUGGAUGCCUGAAUGGAAGUGGAAGCUCUUUGGACAACCCUAAUGUGAGAAUCAUAGAGCUAACCAAUUAAUUCGCAGACUUGAAGAUUAUAAUUAUACCAUCCAAACGCAUCGAUGACGUCCAUCGUCACAACUUAAUGUCCUAUUGAAAUUUUAUUUUCAUUUUUUUUAAUUCCAAACAUGAAUCGAUUACAAGAAUAACUACGGCUUUACAGCACAAUUUAUAAAAAUCUACGCAAAUUUUAAUUACAUCCAAGUCGAACAAAGCGAUCACAUGAAUCGACCAUUACAUGUUCAUUUACAUGGUUCGUUCUAGUGGAAUACCUUCAACGGAAAAAAAAUAAAAAUAAUGUACGAGCAUUGCUGGUUGUUAUUUAUGAAUUGUACAUUUAGUUGGUCGUUGUUCUUUGUCUGGUUGUGUUGGAGUUAGCAUUGCGAUAAUAGUUUACAUGCAACAGUUGUGCAUUUUGAACAAUAAAUGCACUAAGUUUUGAGUGCAUUUCUGAAAUUGUGUUUGUUAAAAGGAGUCACUUCAGUUUUCGACAGCACAUUUGAGCAAAAAAUUUAUUCUGCAUUUGUGUGGCAUUGAAGACGACGACGACAACAAAAUUCCAUUUAUUUGCUGAAGAAAAAACCAAUCGGCCCUACGAAAAUGAUUUCUACCUUGGCAACCACUCCAAUUUGGAUAUUUUUGGCCUGGGCUGCAUUCGUGUUUCUGUGCAGUCCAAUUUUGUUCAUAAUUAGCGUGUGUCUUCCGGAAAUACCGUUAAUGAUUAUGAGACGAAUGUGUUAUGUACCGAUCGAUACGUAAUUGUGGCUAAACGAGUAGUCAACUGUUAUUCGGAUCUGACUAGUGUUUUCUUAUAUAAUGAUAAAAUGUAUGGUAAUGGUAGGUCGCAUGAAAUAAGAUUUUUUUUUAUCGAACACUAUGGAAUAUUUUAAACUAUACUAAGUUGUUUAACAGUUGAUUCACAUCGCGAUGCACUAUCCGUUUGUAAUAGGGUAAUUGAGCUGAGGUGCUUAUCCAUUGCUAGUGUUUUUAAAUUUGCUUUGACGAAUCGAAGUCACUAACAUGCACAGACGAUGUUGAGACGGAAUAAUUUGUUUCAAUAAGCAAAAAGUUUGAUGUUGCAAAGAAUUUAGUUCUUUUGCACCAAAGAUACUCUUAUUGAUAAAAAUUAUUUUGUAAUUGUUUCCUUUACCUGGACUUAUGGCUAGUCAAAACAAAAUUAAUUUUAAAUUGAUCAUAAUCCUUUUGUGAAUAGAAAACGAAUGAUUCAUAUUGAAACAUAUGCUUUUAGUAUUAAAGAAAAAUCUCUACAUCGAUUCAAGGCCAGGUAGGAAAUUAAUGAAAAGAUGCUACAUGACAUAUUCGUUAUCUACAUUUUAGUAGGAGAGAGAAAAACUAACUAAAAUUUGUAAUGCUAACGAAGUGCCUUAGGACAUUAAGUUCAAAAUUGUAUUUUUGAUAUAAAAAUUUAUUUUUCAAUAAAACUAUGAUGAAAACCGAAUAAA